AACGCUAGCGGCAGGCCUAAUACAUGCAAGUCGAACGGUAAGGUCUCUUCGGAGAUACACGAGUGGCGCACGGGUGAGUAACGCGUAUGCAACCUACCUAUAACUGGGGAAUAGCCCUUCGAAAGGAGGAUUAAUACCCCAUAAUGUUUCUAAGAGGCAUCUCUUAGUUCCUAAAACUCCGGUGGUUAUAGAUAGGCAUGCGUGACAUUAGUUUGUUGGUGAGGUAAUGGCUCACCAAGACUACGAUGUCUAGGGGGUCUGAGAGGAUGAUCCCCCACACUGGUACUGAGACACGGACCAGACUCCUACGGGAGGCAGCAGUAAGGAAUAUUGGGCAAUGGAGGAAACUCUGACCCAGCCAUGCCGCGUGUAGGAUUGAAGGUCCUCGAGAUUGUAAACUGCUUUUAUAUGGGAAGAAACACCACUACGUGUAGAGGUUUGACGGUACCAUAAGAAUAAGGACCGGCUAACUCCGUGCCAGCAGCCGCGGUAAUACGGAGGGUCCAAGCGUUAUCCGGAUUUAUUGGGUUUAAAGGGUCCGUAGGCGGGAGAAUAAGUCAGUGGUGAAAUCCUGCAGCUCAACUGCAGAACUGCCUUUGAUACUGCUUAUCUUGAGUAUGGUUGAAGUGGGCGGAAUGUGUCAUGUAGCGGUGAAAUGCAUAGAUAUGACACAGAACACCGAUAGCGAAGGCAGCUCACUAAACUGAUACUGACGCUGAGGCACGAAAGCGUGGGGAGCGAACAGGAUUAGAUACCCUGGUAGUCCACGCCGUAAACGAUGAUUACUCGAUGUGUGCAAUAUACAGUACGCGUCCUAGCGAAAGCGUUAAGUAAUCCACCUGGGGAGUACGAUCGCAAGAUUGAAACUCAAAGGAAUUGACGGGGGCCCGCACAAGCGGUGGAGCAUGUGGUUUAAUUCGAUGAUACGCGAGGAACCUUACCUGGGCUUAAAUGUAGAACGACAGAUUGGGAAACCAGUCCUUCUUCGGACGAUCUACAAGGUGCUGCAUGGCCGUCGUCAGCUCGUGCCGUGAGGUGUUGGGUUAAGUCCCAUAACGAGCGCAACCCCUAUCUCUAGUUGCCAGCGGGUAAUGCCGGGGACUCUAGAGAAACUGCCUACGCAAGUAGUGAGGAAGGCGGGGAUGACGUCAAGUCAGCACGGCCCUUACGUCCAGGGCUACACACGUGCUACAAUGGUCGGUACAAAGGGCAGCUACCUGGUGACAGGAUGCUAAUCUCUAAAGCCGAUCUCAGUUCGGAUCGAAGUCUGCAACUCGACUUCGUGAAGUUGGAAUCGCUAGUAAUCGCGCAUCAGCCAUGGCGCGGUGAAUACGUUCCCGGGCCUUGUACACACCGCCCGUCAAGCCAUGGAAGCCGGGGGUACCUGAAGUCAGUAACCGCAAGGAGCUGCCUAGGGUAAAACUGGUAACUGGGGCUAAGUCGUAACA
rnacentral:rRNA from 1 species